GCAAGAAGCUGCUGCUGGGGGUCAGGCUUGUAGCUUUUAGUGUUCUAAACACUGAUGGAAAUUCAUUGUUUGGCUGCUGUUUCACGCUGUUAGUUGCGAGUUUGCAUUGAACCGUGAAUAAAACAAAGCAGUGUGUGCAAACGGGCUCAUCCCGCGAAGGAGAAAUAUAGCAGUCACCGGAUUAAGAGUUUCCAGCAAAAUAUUUGAAAUCGUGCCUGUUGUGCUUCCCUUCAAUAGUUCGUGUAUUGGGAGCUGGAUAUUGAACCGUGCAAUUAUCUGAUGUGUCAAGACAAUGUCACGUUUCCGUGGUGCAACACCAAGUGUGACUAGCUGCUCCUACUAACAGCAGGCAAAUACAUGAAGGACCAAGACAGUGUAUCAUUUCCUUGGUGCAAAGCCAAGUGUGAGCAGCUGCUUCUCACAAACAGCAGACAAACGCUUGAAGGAACAAGGCAAUGUAUCAUUUCUUCAGUACAAAGCCAAUUGUGACCAGCUCGUCCUAACAAACAGCAGGUAUGUUCCCACUGUCACAGCAGAGAACGUCCUUUCCACAGUCACAGAGCAGAUUGAAUCAGACACCAUUGAACUUUAAUUUCCAGUCAGACACGUUCAAACCGACAAUAAAACAACACGGAGGAAUGCCACUUUA